CUCCCUGUAGCUCAAUGGACAGAGCGCAGGUUUCCGGAGCCUGAAAUACAGGUUCGAUUCCUGUCAGGGGGA
rnacentral:tRNA from 5 species